UACGAAGGGGGCUAGCGUUGCUCGGAAUCACUGGGCGUAAAGCGCACGUAGGCGGAUCGUUAAGUCAGGGGUGAAAUCCUGGAGCUCAACUCCAGAACUGCCUUUGAUACUGGCGAUCUUGAGUUCGAGAGAGGUGAGUGGAACUGCGAGUGUAGAGGUGAAAUUCGUAGAUAUUCGCAAGAACACCAGUGGCGAAAGCGGCUUCCUGGUCCAGCACCGACGUUCAGGCACGAAAGCGUGGGGAGCAAACAGG
rnacentral:rRNA from 1 species